rnacentral:pre_miRNA from 1 species
CUUGUACUCCCUCCAUCCGGAAAUACUUGUCAUUGAAAUGGAUGUAUCUAGAUGUAUUUUAGUUCUAGACACAUCCAUUUUGAUGACAAGUAAUUCUAGAUGGAGGGAGUACUUG